UCUCCGUUGGUGAACCAGCGGAGGGAUCAUUACAGGACUCGCAAACCUCCUUCACCCUGUGAACCUCACUACCAGCACGUUGCUUCGGCGGGUGUCCCGGGGGGGGCCCUCCCCCUCCGCGGAGCCUAGCCCGCCCGCAGCCUACAAUUCUCUGUCUUUUUGCGUUGGCAUCCCGAGAUUAAACAAACAAGCUAAAACUUUCAACAACGGAUAACUUGGUUCCGGGAUCGAUGAAGAAACGAGCAAAACGGAAGCACAACCGUCUGACCUCCAGCAACG
rnacentral:misc_RNA from 1 species